AAGCCUGAUCCAGCAAUGCCGCGUGCAGGAAGAAGGCCUUCGGGUUGUAAACUGCUUUUGUCAGGGAAGAAAUCUUCUGGGUUAAUACCUCGGGAGGAUGACGGUACCUGAAGAAUAAGCACCGGCUAACUCCGUGCCAGCAGCCGCGGUAAUACGGAGGGUGCAAGCGUUACUCGGAAUCACUGGGCGUAAAGAGCACGUAGGCGGCCUUGCAAGUCAGAUGUGAAAUCCAACGGCUUAACCGUUGAACUGCAUUUGAAACUGCAAGGCUAGAGUAUGGGAGAGGUAGGUGGAAUUCUCGGUGUAGGGGUAAAAUCCGUAGAGAUCGAGAGGAAUACUCAUUGCGAAGGCGACCUGCUGGAACAUUACUGACGCUGAGGUGCGAAAGCGUGGGGAGCAAACA
rnacentral:rRNA from 1 species